GUCUAACUUUCAAACUUACCCAUUUUACCUUUAACCGUGGAGCUUUAUAGCUUUUGCAUAAGUCUUGAGUAAUUGAAAGAUAGAACAAUCAAGUCAAGCACUAUGUCUCAAAUUCUUCACAGUACCAAUAUUCUAGGGUUUUACAAGUUUUCGAAAUAAAACUCUGAGCUUAAUUGUAUGACACCCUCAAGUCUCUUAUUAUGUAGUAUUUAUGGAUCUCACUAAGGCAUUAAUGAGGUUAUGCCUUCCUACAACUAAGGAUAUAUAGUGGAGCUUAUAGGAGUGGCACUAACAAGGAUGAGCAUACUUGCAAUUCAUAUAUUGUAAAGUCAAACAAUGGAUCCACAGAGAAUCAAGGCAUACAAUCAAAUCAAGAUGUGCAUGUGUAUGGAAUAUGGUAGAUAGGUGUAUAUAUAGUAUUUACUGGCUAAUCAUAAUUCUACUUUUGCUCUUGAAAAUUACUCUCUCCUUAGAACUUUUCGCAGGAAAACAUGGGCUAUCUUUAUUCUUUCUUUCUUUCUUAUUUUUCCUUUCUCUCUCUCUCUCUUUUUAUAUAUAUAUCUGGGAGGUGGGCAUCUAUGUACCCAUUGUUUUAAUUGUUGGGACACUUGUCCAUCUUUUACUCCCCUUUUUUUAUUUUUUUGAUACUUUUGCAUAGCCACAUGCAUCCUUUGAAUAUAAAUAAUUGGAGAGAUAAUUAUAAGAACUUAGAGCAAUUGAGUGGGGGCUGUUCUAAAGGGUAUAUUUUUGGGUGUUUACUCCUAGUGUAUGAGAAAAAAACAUUUUUAAGGUGGAUCUGGAUGAAAAUGGAAAAUAAUUGCGCUUACUCUCAGAGUAGGAGCAAUGCAUAUGUAGGUGGAGUGCGUGAGUGAUCUUAAUUUUAAAAGCAUGACAAGACUCUUAUAAGGUAUACUUCAAAGGUUGACUAAACUCAAUGUAAAGCAAGCAGCAUGAAUGCACAAAGGUUUUCCUAACUCUAAAUGUAUCAUAUAUGGCUUUGGUAGGAAUUUAAACUUUAUCAUACAAGAGCUCUUCAUGUAAGAUUUUGGUUUUUUAAAAAAUAAAUCUCCAGAACUUAGUAAUGCUAGGAAUAAGAUAAAUAGCAGUUUAGACCUUCAUGUAUAAUAGUAAUCAAUUACCUAGACUCAGCUUAAACAUAUGCCUCCACAAAUUUUAGGUUCAGAGUAAAUUCUUAUAUUAAAGUGGUCAUGUCCAAAACUCAGGAGAAUUUGUGGUUGAAAACUAGGCACUUGAAAGGAAUUACAGUAGAGCAACUAUUCAUCAUCUCCAAGACAAAAUUUUAAUAUUCUCUAAAUUUUAUUUGAAUCUAAACUAGACUGACUGUAGACACACUCUAUGAUCACACCUUAAUAUAUAAAUAUGUAUUUUGCUUGGUUUUUAUUUAUUUAUAUUGGACUUAGAAGACUCUAAAGAUAUGAACCUUCAUGUGCCCAUAUAUUUUUGGUAUUUUUAUAUUUUCUUAUGAUACUAUUGUGAACCUUCAUGUGCUCACAUAUUUUUGGUAUUUUAUGACUAUAAAAUAGACUCGAUAAUCGCCUAGGUAUAGUUACCUGAUAACUAGGGGAUGCUCCUCCCCCAAGCUAGAUGUUUGCAAUAGUUGGUGUUGAUGAUCUUCAGAGUGAGCUAACUAGCAGCGCUCCCGUUGGACGCCACUAAUAGACUCUCUCCUUGUCAUAAUGUUGUUUCUGCAUAAUUACUCCGAAAAGAAAACCAAAACUCAAGGCUCGAAUUUGUUAAUGGGUUAGCGGUCAGCCAAAGAGUAAUUGAUCACCUUUAAGAGCUAGCUUUAAUGUUGUCUAAUUUAAACAGGAUUUCAAUUUUUCUCUUCUUUUUGAAUUUUAUAUUUAUGAUGCAGGAAUUUAAAUGCUAUAUUUUUAUCAUUUUUAUUUUAUGCCACUACAGCGGAUGUUCCUUCGGAGAAUACCAUAGGGUAUCCACAUAGGGCUUGAGAUGCCAUGAGUAAUGUAGUAAAUAUUUUUUUAUAUCUUUUAGUGUGUAACCAAAAUUAUGCUACUAAAUUACAAAUGCAUUUAAAGAGAUAACUACUAUUCUAACCUUAUGGCUAGGGUACGGAAUUUAAAGUCUACCGACAGGACUUAGAUAGAGAACACUUACUCAGUGGGUUCGUCAUCUGAGGUAACCUCAGUCAACUCCCCGUUUUGUGAUGAUGCAUCAUGUGCGUCUUCUUUCCCUCUUGUGUAUCUCUCCAUCUUGAGAGAUGGAGGUCUUGAUGGUUAUAGACCUCUAGUGAUGGUAAUGCCACUUGUUCUUUGAUUUGGUUAGCAGGUUCAAGUAGAGCUUUAAUAGUAGUUGACAGCAUCUUGCUUAGUGUGCAUGUUCAUAGAACUUUUACUUGUAGAAUUAAUGAACUUUUCUUGAUGUGUUGUCCUGUUUGCAAAACUAAGGUAGAGAUCAAGUGCAUGGGCUCUGCUGGUGGAAAAACACCAACAGAACCAAAUCUAUUUCUUUUUUUAUUUUUCUCCAUCCUUAGGCACAUUAAACAAGAUAAAGUUGUGUUACAUGAUUUAUUCAUUUAUUUAUGAGUGGUAAGAUCAAAAGAUUAAGCAUUUAAUGUUGCAUUUAAGUUCACAUGACAGAAAAGAAUGAAAUUGCUUAACCAAUGGAAGGAUUGUCUAUCUCUAUAUAAAUCUUCAAAUAAGUUUGGCUAUCAUCUUCCCAAGAUUGUUCUAACUUUUUUAGUUAAGACUGAGAUUAAGAGAAUGGUGUCAUAAACAAUCUUAAAAGAUAAAUCAUGUUGAGUUAACUAGGUUGAUCAAUUUAAGUUGUAACUCUAACAUGCUUGUGUUUUAAUUUAUGUGCACACCAGAUCAAGAGAAGAGAGUGACCACUUACCUUAGAAUAUUACCUUCAUUAUUAGAGCGUGAUGGCACUAACUGAUGAAGGGUAAAUGACUGGUGGUCCUUCCUCUUGCAUCUUGAGUUAUUCAUAGACAUCUUGUCUCCUCUAUUGCAUUCAUUCUUUUGUCAUCUUUUGCUCUUUAAUCUAUUGACUCUUUUCACUCCAGUCAUUAUUAUGCCUGCAAUAGAUUAGGGGACAAUACAUACCCGAACGAAUAUACAAGUCAUGACAAGGGCAUUGUUGUAACAUAGCUAAGGGUCACUUUCUAUGCUACAAAAAGGAAUUUACUUGAGCAUACUUAGCAUAGCGCAUUUAUUAUUCACAAUUACUUCUUUCUAAGGGUUUGAAUUUAUUUUCCCAUCUUAUGUUUUGAUUCUCAAAUAUAGGCAUUAUGAAUCAGCUCAAACUUAUAGAAAUAAAGUAAUAGUGAAUUUAGAGAUUGCAAACCAACGUGUGGAGCGAUGGGAGCAUGAGAUGUGGAAGAACUUGGUUGGAUCAUCUAGAGAAGUUUGACCUUUCUUCCUCAUGUCUCAGCUUCUUGAUUGCAGAGGUGAGAGUGCUUUGAUUGUGGAACAUGUUUUGUGGCACCCUUUUUUCUUCUUAGCUACGAGUGAGUUGUAUCUUCCUUGUGCA
rnacentral:lncRNA from 1 species